CCUACGGGAGGCAGCAGUGAGGAAUAUUGGUCAAUGGCCGGAAGGCUGAACCAGCCAAGCCGCGUGAGGGAUGAAGGCGCAGAGCGUCGCAGACCUCUUUUGCCGGGGGACAAAAUGCCGGACUCGUCCGGUCCUGUGGGUACCCGGAGAAAAAGCAUCGGCUAACUCCGUGCCAGCAGCCGCGGUAAUACGGAGGAUGCGAGCGUUAUCCGGAUUCAUUGGGUUUACAGGGUGCGCAGGGGGGCCUUUAAGCCGGCGGUGAAAUCGCGGGGCUCAACCCCCGCGGGCCGUUGGAACGGGGAGCCUUGAGUGCAGCGGAGGCAUGCGGAAUGCGCGGUGUAGCGGUGAAAUGCAUAGAUAUCGCGAAGAACCCCGAUUGCGAAGGCAGCGUGCCGUGCCGCCACUGACACUGAGGCACGAAAGCGCGGGGAUCGAACAGGAUUAGAUACCCCUGUAGUC
rnacentral:rRNA from 1 species